UACGUAGGGUGCAAGCGUUAAUCGGAAUUACUGGGCGUAAAGCGUGCGCAGGCGGUUAUGUAAGACAGUUGUGAAAUCCCCGGGCUCAACCUGGGAACUGCAUCUGUGACUGCAUAGCUAGAGUACGGUAGAGGGGGGAUGGAAUUCCGCGUGUAGCAGUGAAAUGCGUAGAUAUGCGGAGGAACACCGAUGGCGAAGGCAAUCCCCUGGACCUGUACUGACGCUCAUGCACGAAAGCGUGGGGAGCAAACAGGAUUAGAUACCCUGGUAGUCCACGCCCUAAACGAUGUCAACUGGUUGUUGGGUCUUCACUGACUCAGUAACGAAGCUAACGCGUGAAGUUGACCGCCUGGGGAGUACGGCCGCAAGGUUGAAACUCAA
rnacentral:rRNA from 1 species